rnacentral:lncRNA from 1 species
UAAGAUCACUGAAGUGCACAUAGAUCCUGUGAUGUUUAAGCCUGUUUUAAAAUAGGUUGAUACAGGAGAUUUAAAGUUGAUUUUGCAAGUUUUAUCAAAAAUGUCCAUUUAAGUUACAUGUAUUUCAUAUGACAACCUUUCACGAGGAAUAUCCUUCCAGAGCAAUAUAGAUUGGAUGCUAGUUUGUGUGUAGAAUAGGCUUUGUUUCUUCUUCACUGGCAACUGAAAUCCUGCCUGACCUUGAAUCACAUUUAAUCUACACAGACCUCAGCUUUUCUCCGCUGUACAGAGGGUUGAGAUUCAGUGAUCGAAGAAGCUGUGUAAGAAAAGGGGGGUGAACUUUUCAGGGUGACAUGUUGAUAACAAUUUUUUAGUUUAGUGAAGAGGAACAUGUAAACAAGCUUUCAAGUUUUAAAAUACCUGAAAAGAGAAGAAACCUCUUGUGAAGUCACCAAUUUAGUGAAAUUAAAAAUGAGUAAUAGAUCUUGCUGCUUGCUGUAUGUAUGUGUCUUACCUUUAGAGUGUAUUUCUGUAGAUCAGCAGGAUGGAUUCUUUGAGGCCAACUGCAGCAGUGCAGAAGCUUGGAGUCAGGAGCGCAUUCACUCAGGCUGCUACUUUGGGAGCUCUUCAGCUUUGACCUGCAUUUCAUAUUCCUGCACAUAACUAGGGCCAAAGCCCAGGCCUUUUCAGAUACUGGGAGUAGAGAAAUCUGGAGUCGAGUCUUGAGCGUGCUACACACAGCCUCUUUGUUUUUGAGGAACCCAAUCACUGACAACUUUCUGCUUCUCAGUUACAGAGCACAGCUGGGGUGCAGACUUCAGAAGUGUUUUGCUGUGAAUUCUGGAGUCCUUGGGGAGGUUGCUGGGAUGUCUGCCUUUCUCUGUUCAACUCCUGAGCUCAUUCCAGAUGCCCUCCUGGGGGAGGAAGGACUGAAGGAUAGGGUACAGCACUCCUCUUUAACCAGAGAGCAGGUGUGCACGAAUGGAAAGCUUCUGCAGAGUCGUGUGUUCCACCCUGGGGACCUCACCUGGCUCAGGGACUUCUGUGUUCGGCUUGGGAAUACUGUUUUGAGAUGUUCCCUUGAAUUAAAUGCAUCAAAAUCACCCUUUAGUGUAUUGGGUCUGUGGUAUCUCUGGAGAUAGAUGCUGAUGUCAAAUGUCCAAUGCUGGGUGUGCAUCCAUUUGGAGUGGGUCUUGGAAUGUUACUUUGUGCUCUGUGUGACCGAGAGCUGAUCCAUUUCACUGCUGCUGCGAUGUGUGACAAAAACCCACCCUCCCUCCACUUGGAACAGGUGAGAGAUGGAACUAAAGCUCAAAGGAUUUUCUGCUCAGUGAUUAUACCUGAGUUUUAUUGGGAACUUUCUGGGAAAUCUGACACAUAGUUCUGUCCAUGAGGGUAGUUGAGCAUGCCAGUGCACAUCUGCAAACACGCAGUGCCAGAGCGAGAACCUUUGAACUGUAAACCGGGCUUUAUUCCAUGGAAUCCCACUGUGUGCUGCGCCCAGGUCCUUUGUACAAAUAGUUUACGGGGGGGGGGGG